UUUAACCACAGCGCCACCUGGGUCCCAUCCAAAAUGGGAAAGUCUAUCAUUGAAGGACCAGCAUUGCAGCUAUUAUUAAAAAAAAUUAGCAGGCUUCAUUCCCUCAGAACAGGUGACCAUGCCUGCAAUUUGAAUCCAAUUCUGACACAAAAUGAAAACAUCUUGUUUUAAAAGUCAAGCUUUUAGGGUUUCCUGCAUGGAAACUAUUGGGUGUAUCUGUGUAAUAUUUGGUAGACUUAAUCCACUCUGAAGGAGCUGUUAUGCCUGAACAUUUUAUGCACCUUGGUGAAAAUGAAACAAGUUACCAGCCAUUUUUAGAUUCCCAUUUUAGAGUGGAUGGGCAACAAAUAGCUUUGUUUUAACAUACUGUACUUUUGUUCCUAUAGAACCAGUCAAACUGAUGCAGAGCAUUGCAGGCCACACUUGUUCGUACAGCUGUCUCUGUACACCAGUUGCUGAGAGUCGCAAGUGGGGAGAGAGCUGUUGUCUUCAGUUCCUGCCAUGGGCAUCUGGUUGGCCACUGUGAGAACAGGCUGUUGUGUAUCUCAUGUUCCAUUGAGAAGCCCAGUAGAGUGGCCAAAGUCCAGCUGUAGCCACGGUUUCCUUUGCAUUGACUUCUUUCUUCUGAACUGGUCUUGGCUGAGUAAUUAGACAGCACAGCGUAUUGGAUUAGCACACAUCAGUGAUGCAUAUUAAUCACAGAAAGGAGACAGAGCACUACGAGAUGCAACAGAAGCUCGGUGUUAAGAUCUGCUGAAGUGAAUCCACUACACUUAGAAGUCUGAGGUGGCAACGGCUUGGGAGAUGUAACCUGCCCUAAGAGAUUAUGGUGAGGGCAAAGCUGAACAAAGUACUUUUGCCAUAAGUGUUAAAAAUUAUGGCUCUCCUUCAAAAAGAGCAAAGGAAACUGGGAUUUAGACUGCCUGGAUAGCAGACCUUCAAGACACACCACCUAAUGCAGAAGACUGUAGAACAACUGUGGUUACUCAGUAACAAGGGAAAAAGGUGGAAGAACCAUCAAAAGAUGACAAGAAAAGAAUACUCGCAAGACCAUCUCAUACUCCAUGCAAUGUAGAGCAGCUGUGAUCAACUAGUUUGCUUCCAGGCCCCUAAAUUUCAAUACAUGUUGUGCUUUGAUGGUGCCUUGAGAUGCACUGAAAUAUACCUUGACAGACCCUUGAAGCAAAAGGAAAAUGAAAUGAAGAUGCCUGAAGAUAUUUGGAAAAUAAAACCUUGAAAUACUACAUGUUGUUGAAAUCAGUGUGAAUAUAUCCUUUGCAAAACAUCAUGUCAAACUAUUAUAUGUCAAUAGAGAUUGAAAUAUUGUUAAUGCAGAUCACUUACAUGAAAUUUUACCAGUAUGCCUGUGAAUUGCCUCCUGGGAUAUGUAUUUAAAAUAUUGCUUGAAAAAUUCUGCAUAGGAAGCAGUAAGUUUUAUAUAAUAAUGACUAUGGGGGGAAAGUAAGCUCCAUUUUAAGAGGUUUUCCAUAUAUUUACCGAUAUACUUUGGGCAGGAAUCCAAAGAAAAACUAAAGUGCAUGCUAAUUUCUUUUUUAAAAGCUUUCCCACAACACCAAAUAAAGUGCAGGUCAAAAAAUUGGUGAAAUUAUGUCCUAUUUUCCCUCAUUCUGUACCAGAAAUUCCAAAUU